UCAAUCGAAAAACGUGACAUUCCUCGCAC
rnacentral:piRNA from 1 species